GCAUUUUCGCCGUCUCGAUAGAGCUCGACGUACAUGUCUUGCCGAUUUCGGCCGCCAACGGGCUCGACCAUUUCCUCUAUCGUCGGACAACAAUCGACUGCGAGGCCAUCUUCGCCUCCCUCUUGGCGCAAAACCAUCUGCAUCUCACGGCUCCAUGACUACGAUGCGCAACCGUGAUAAUAGGAGAAGGGCGUCCAUUCGGCAAUAUCUCCUUUCGAGGCUAAAAACCUUGUUGGAUUCUCUAGAAGUAUAUAAGAAGAAGAAGAGGAGGAGGAGGAGGAGGAGGAGGAGGAGAAGGAGGCAGGGGAAGGGGAUCGAACCUUAUGCAAAUGCAACGACGUACAAACGACCCUGUGAAAUCUUUGCGAGUAUGGCUUAACUUAACUUACCGUAAGGUAAGCGAAUGACUACCGACGAUAAUGCAAAGACAACGGCGGACUUAAAGAUUUCAUUCCACGAUAGAUCAGGGCCUUUAUCGAACCGACGAUAUCCAUUAAUCAAAAUACCGAGAGGGAAGCACUGGCGCAAGGCUUGGACGUAACGAAAAAAUUCUCUCUGAUCCUCUUAUUAGUCCUUUCGAUGACGUCAGUACAUUUUUGCACGAGUCGAGCGUAGAGCUACGUGCUGCAAGAAGAAGAAGCGAUGCCCUGGGUGACUAUGGUCAACGAAGCGAGCCAUAGAUAUUGUGGAAGAUCAAAAGAAAAAAAUUGGUCGAUUAAAGACGAGAGAGGCAACGGUAAAUCUUAGAUGACAUCGAACCGGUCAGAAUCCGACGCAUGAGUAUGCUUUAAGCAUUCUAAUGAAACGAGCGACAUGAAAAGCGACGUUAAGGGAGCCGUUUUGCGAUAGGAACGGCGAUUUCAUGGACGCAUCGCUACGAUCGAAACUAGGCUCGCUCGUUCGACGAUUUUACGCUUCUCUCCGUACUGAAGUCGUUCGAUAAAGCUCGAAGAUAUGCCGUUCGAUGAAACUUUCAAGGAUGUCGUAAAGAUAGAGGAAAAGGAGUAUUUGGAGAAGGAGAAGAAGAAUGCGUUAUCUCGUUAACGAAGUACCAGAUCUCGAGCUUUGUAAUUCGUUUAACAUGGGCCAUAGUAAAAGGCACGUAGUCCAGUUUGAAUGCACGUUAAACGAACGCAUUCCUAACAUUGUCACACGGCACAUUAAGCUUCGCUGUUGUCAACAUGCGACCCGUUUCAAUUCGUCUCGGCUUCGGAAAAAGAAGAAUUAAAUGUACCGGGUAUAGCGUAGAUCGGUCAAUUAUAAUAUCUUGCGAAAGAGGCGACUAUAAAUUGAUAUUUUUAAACGAUGUCCCAUUGGAUUAUAAUAAAAAAUAUAAACGUCAGGUAUAAACGUCAAUCAAAAGCUAAUAAAGAGUUUAAAGCUUUAAAAAUUAAAUUGACCGAGCGCGUUUUAAAUUACUUAUGCAAAAAAUAAUUAUAAGCCUGGAUAUAGGUUCCGAUCGCAUCGAUUUCUAAAAGAAAAAUAAACGUUCGAAAAUAUCGAGAGACAAAGUAAAAAUAAAACAAGGAGAAGGAAAUGGAAGUAGAAGGUGAUCCAUAAGGGCACGACUAUCGCGAAAGGCGCGGAACGACUUUACGUGGCGCGUUUCUUGACAGGCUCUCUCUCUCUCUCUCUUUUUCUCUCAGGAAGAGAAGAGAGAGAGAAGGAGAGUAGCCGUAAGAUCGUGGGCGGCGGUGGAGACUGCGCCCGCCCGGCGGAGUCGGAUUACUCUGUCGCAAGGAGCGAAGAACGACGGGGCCACCCCUUUUAACGGUGGGUGCCUUUUUUUCGCCGGCCGAUGGAGAAGCGUCUCUAAUCGAUCUCGAGCCUCGACCGGCGACCCAUAAAUUUGCUCGACACCGAGGAGAAAUGCUUUAUUGUGACGUUUUAUUUUCGGCCUUUCCAACUCGCCGCUAUUUUACAUGCGAGUAUCGAUGGACGAAGAAAGAAGAAAAGAGAACGAGAAAAUAGUUGACCUUUUUGACGUCUAGCCAAUUCUGAUUUCUUUUUCUUUUCUUUCUUUUUUGUUUUUUUUUUUUCUCUUUUUUCGCAGAUAAGUGUCUCCAGGGCAUUUUAUUUUAUUUUAUUUUAUUUUUUUUUUUUUCGUAGAAUCAGAAUGAGAGAACUAUGCGAAAAAAAUGUUAAACGUCGGAUUAGAUCGAUCGAGAAUCAACGAAUCGAGAUGAUUACGUGUAUCGAUUGCGUGCUUGAAAUAUUACUCGAUUACACGGUCGAGAUGUGCUCAAAAUAAUGGAAAUAGAGCGAGACCGGAUCGAGCCGUAAUUUCUCGAACCGUUGGCUCGCCUAACUGUAUCAUUUGCAUAGAAUAAAGUGAUCCAUCAAGAUCGAUCGCGUAUCUUUGACCCCGUAACAACAAUUUAUAUCGUCGCCGAUAUAAUUUGACUUUAAAAUAAACUUCUGGUUUGUAGCACAUUUCUUUUUUUUCUUUUCCUUUUUUUUUCUUCCU